rnacentral:rRNA from 1 species
UACGAAGGGGGCUAGCGUUGCUCGGAAUUACUGGGCGUAAAGGGAGCGUAGGCGGAUAGUUUAGUCAGAGGUGAAAGCCCAGGGCUCAACCUUGGAAAUGCCUUUGAUACUGGCUAUCUUGAGUAUGGGAGAGGUAAGCGGAAUUCCGAGUGUGGAGGUGAAAUUCGUAGAUAUUCGGAAGAACACCGGUGGCGAAGGCGGCUUACUGGCCCAUUACUGACGCUGAGGCUCGAAAGCGUGGGGAGCAAACAGG